UGAGGAAGAAUGCCAACCAUGGAAGCUACCUGCGAGUGUUUUUGAAUGAAAUAGCCGAUCAAAUCUUGUUCAUGACGCACGACUCCUGCAUCUGCCAAAGAAGGAUCAGUCAAUAAAUCCAUUAGUAAAGCGAUGGAUCUUGAAUUUCGUACUAAAAAGCUUCCUGCAUUCAAUCCGUUAUGAUCCUGAGAAAUUAGAAAUUGUAUUUGUUCUAUCAU